GUAGUAUUCCCUCCGUCCCAAAAUUCUUGUCUUACAUUUGUUUAGAUACGGAUGUAUCUAACACUAAAAUGUAACUAGAUACAUCCAUAUUUAGACAAAUUUAAGACAAGAAUUUUGGGACGGAGGGAGUACAGA
rnacentral:pre_miRNA from 1 species